rnacentral:lncRNA from 1 species
CAGCCCACACUUCUUGAAGGAGUUUCCAUCCAGUUUUAGCACGAUCCAAGCAGCAAGCUUGCAUCAACAUCUGAACUAGCACACGUGAUUCAUUUCUUCCCACGUACAAAAGAGCUGCAGCAGCCUACAUUUAUCUAAACCUCACGCUCCAGCAUCUUCACAGCCCACACUGCAACAACGUUUUUCCUCUCCAGCACACAGCCUUCACGACCCAACAACCUCAUCCAGCUCACGGCCUGCACCUCCAAAUAUUUGAAUCAAGAAGCUUGAGCAAAGGUGGCUGCAAAAUGAGAAUCACGCUGCAGCUAGCUGAAUCAUCUUGGGCCGAGGUCGUUUCAUUUGAAGGAUACGUCCAACAAACAAGACCUCUAGUAUUGGCAGCAUCCAACACGCUGUCCACUUGGCUUUUCUUUGAACAAUCCUAUUAAAUAGAAAAGAAGUAGCACAUGCUGAUUUAUUACUUGGAAGAAGGUGCAUACAAGAGAAAAAAAAUGGCAUGGGCUGGAAAUAAAAUGGCUUGCAACAAGCGGCCCAUGGGACGUCCAAAGGAAUAGGCACGCCACAUUGAAAGACGGAUUGGUAAUUUAAAGGAGAGGACACAAAACCCUAGGGAUAUUUUUAUUCCUAGGACCAGCCGUCAAACAGAUAUAUCUUUUACACUUUUCUUUUUU